GAUGAACGCUAGCUACAGGCUUAACACAUGCAAGUCGCGGGGCAGCAUGGGGGUUGCUUGCAAUCCCCGAUGGCGACCGGCGCACGGGUGAGUAACGCGUAUUCAACCUGCCCUUCACCACGGGAUAACCCGGCGAAAGUCGGACUAAUACCGUAUGUUGACCAUUGACGGCAUCCGAUUUGGACGAAAGGCUUGGCGGUGAGGGAUGGGGAUGCGUCCGAUUAGCCAGACGGCGGGGUGACGGCCCACCGUGGCUACGAUCGGUAGGGGUUCUGAGAGGAAGGUCCCCCACACUGGAACUGAGGCACGGUCCAGACUCCUACGGGAGGCAGCAGUGAGGAAUAUUGGUCAAUGGGCGUAAGCCUGAACCAGCCAAGUAGCGUGCAGGAUGACGGCCCUAUGGGUUGUAAACUGCUUUGAUGCGGGGAUAAAGUGGCCCACGUGUGGGCUUUUGCAGGUACCGCAUGAAUAAGGACCGGCUAAUUCCGUG
rnacentral:rRNA from 1 species